ACGUAGGGGCCAAGCGUUGUCCGGAGUUACUGGGCGUAAAGCGUGCGCAGGCGGCUCGUUGCGCCCGACGUGAAAGCCCCCGGCUCAACCGGGGAGGGUCGUCGGGGACGGGCGAGCUUGAGGGUGGCAGGGGCUGGUGGAACUCCCGGUGUAGUGGUGAAAUGCGUAGAGAUCCGGAGGAACACCAGAGGCGAAGGCGACACCCUGGGCCGUACCUGACGCUAAGACGCGACAGCACGGGGAGCGAACGG
rnacentral:rRNA from 1 species